UACAUGGGGUGCAAACGUUGCUCGGAAUUAUUGGGCGUAAAGCGCACGUAGGCGGUUCGUUAAGUCGGAUGUGAAAGCCCUCGGCUUAACUGAGGAAGUGCACCCGAAACUGGCGAGCUUGAGUACGAAAGAGGAUCGCGGAAUUCCCGGUGUAGAGGUGAAAUUCGUAGAUAUCGGGAGGAACACCGGUGGCGAAGGCGGCGAUCUGGGUCGAUACUGACGCUGAGGUGCGAAAGCGGUGGGGAGCAAACAGG
rnacentral:rRNA from 1 species